UGCUGCUGGCUGUGGCACUGCUAGCCUUGCAGCUGGCGGUGGCACUGGCACUGGCAGUCUCCAGUCCAGUCUCAGUCUUUAGUCUGACAGCGACUGGAGAAUGACGUGCGUGUUGCUGGUCUGCAGCCGUGACAGGCGAAUAUCGAGGACCAUCACACAUUUUAAGUCGUCGAAGAGGGCGCAACAGUGCGGUUCCAGUGCGCAAUCGCCGGCCACCCGACGCCCUGGGUGACCUGGGACAAGGACGGCCUGAUCCUGACGCCGUCGCGCAGACUGACCAUCAAGGAGAAAGACGAUCUGCGCAUCGUCGAAAUCAGCGAGGUGACCGUGGAGGACGCCGGCCUCUACAGAGCCACCCUGGAGAACGACGUCGGCCGCAUCGAGGCUAGCGCCAGGCUGGACGUCAUCGAUGCUGAACGCUGAGGAGACGGAUGAUGCUUAGCUCGAGUUCGACGUUGAGGAUUGCGUGUUUUCGCGCGAUUGUCUAUCCCCAACGUCGUCCGUGUCUUCGACAUCGUCGGCCAACUGCUCGGAGCACUGGGCUGCAUCUUUGGCGCUUGCGGCCGUGACGUUGGCCUUUUUGGCAGUGCUGCCGUCCAAUUCUCAUCCGCUGGGGCGAUUGUCGGCAACCCCUUCAGCAGCGGGAACGACGGGAACGUGCAUCCUUCGCGCGAUCUCAUCCUCAAUAGCCUUCGGCAGCACGUGCAACGCGUCAAUGUUAAGCUGGUUUCCAGCCUGGCUGACGCCGUGAAGAAGACGGAGCCGCCCAGCAUCCAGGUUACGCCCCGCCACCAGGGUCCCAUCCAGAAAGUCAGACGCGAUUGAGUCUCUGUCCAAGAGCGUGAAGCAGUUUGCAAACAAAGCUCUAAACUGUGGUGACGUGGAGAGCAAGUUGGCCGUUCCCGAACCGACGCUAAGCCUAGCUAAAAAGCUGGCCAAGCCUUCGGUCGCCGAGAGGAACUCGUUCGGUGACUCCUCGCUGGCUGACUUCACUCUAUAUAGUCAGACCAGCGUUGGCGUUGGCUCCUUGACCGCGUCUCCUUGUCCUCGCUCGAGAAACAGACCGCCGAGCUGACCAAUGCCAAGUCAGCCGCUUUCACAAGUCACUGUCAGACUCGCAGGCAUUGCACUGGCAGAUGCUGGAGGAUGCGUGCUCUGUUGGCCUGCGGUCGUAAUUUAGUUGCCCGGGACGGGACCCGGCCAGCGACCAUUAGGUGACUGUCGAGGACCA